AAGGUUUUUUUUCUUUCUUUCUGGUUCUGGGGAUCAAAACCAGAACCUCAGGAAGACACUUUUUCAUUCUUCGUCUUUUUUUUUUUUUUUUUUUUGAGGAGUGGGGGCGGGUGGCAUUUCACGUAGUCUACGCAGCCCUGAACUCUCGGUCAUCCUUCCUCUGUGUCCUGAGUGCUGGGAUCACAGGCCUGCUUCUGCCUUAGGCAAGCACUGUGUGCUGACCUAUGACCUGAGUACCCGGUCCAGAAGGGUCACGGCCCUUAUCGUGAUCUAUAGCCCUCACAGAUCUCACUGUGUUGCCCAGGCGGACCGCAAACCGGGCUCGAGUCAUCCCCCUGCCUCCAGCUUCUAAGUAGCUGCUGCUACAGGCAUGUUCUACCGCACCCAUCAUGGAUUUUUCUUGGUUUCGUGUGGCCCAGACUGGUUUCAGACUUCCUGUAGCCAAGGACAGCUCUGACUUCUUGAGCUUCCUGCUUACACACCUCCCAAGUGCUGGGAUUACAGGGGCUGGAUUUGUGGCUCGGCACAGCUCUUCCAGUUCCAGGACCCAGUUCCAGACGGCAGUACCUACACCUCUGAGCAGCCUGACACUGGCCUCUUCUGGCUUCUGCAUGCACGUGAAUGUGCCCCCUCCCACAAACAAAUGCAUAAAGCUGAAAUGUACUUUUGAAAAUAAUAAUUCAUGUUUUCUAGAGAUGCACAGGACUGACACUCCCAGUCCUCAGGAGGCUGCGGUGGGAGGACAGAAAGCUUCAGGCCAGCCUGGGCUAAUAUUGAAAUUUUGUUUCAAAUACACAAAACAAUGCUGAUGCUGAGUGUGUGAUCCAAGGAGGGAAUCCAAGAAUGAGCUGAGAAAAAUUGAUCUAUUAUAUAAAUUC